rnacentral:tRNA from 1 species
AUCUGUAGCGCAAUGGAUAAUAGCGCGUUGGACUUCUAAUCCAAAAAUCGGGGGUUCGAAUCCCACCUGGGAUG